CGGGUAUUUCAGAUGCAUCCCCUCCUUCUCUAACCCAUGGAUGAGAUAGGGCCUGAGCAGCAGUAAGUCUGACCCGAGGAUCCUUCACCAGUAACUUCUUUACAAAAUCUUUAGCACUAUUACUUAUGCUUGGCCAUGGUUUGCGGCGAAAAUCAGGUUUAUUCCUCAAGACCUCCUUAAAUAUACCAUCCUCUGUCUUAUCCCAAAAUGGACGCCUCCCACAUAGCAAAAUGUAUGUAAU
rnacentral:misc_RNA from 1 species